rnacentral:rRNA from 1 species
GAUGAACGCUAGCGGCAGGCCUAAUACAUGCAAGUCGAGGGGCAGCAGGAAUAGCAAUAUUUGCUGGCGACCGGCGCACGGGUGCGUAACACGUAUACAAUCUGCCUUUAACAGGGGGAUAGCCCGGAGAAAUCCGGAUUAAUACCCCAUAAUAGAUCGAAUGGCAUCAUUUGAUUUUGAAAGCUCCGGCGGUUAAAGAUGAGUAUGCGUCUGAUUAGCUAGUUGGUGAGGUAACGGCUCACCAAGGCGACGAUCAGUAGGGGAUCUGAGAGGAUUAACCCCCACACGGAUACUGAGACACGGAUCCGACUCCUACGGGAGGCAGCAGUAAGGAAUAUUGGACAAUGCCCGCAAGGGUGAUCCAGCCAUGCCGCGUGCAGGAAGACGGCCCUAUGGGUUGUAAACUGCUUUUACACCGGAGAAAACCUCCCCUCGUGAGGGGAGCUGAUAGUAUGGUGAGAAUAAGCAUCGGCUAACUUCGUGCC